rnacentral:rRNA from 1 species
UACGCAGGGGGCUAGCGUUGCUCGGAAUCACUGGGCAUAAAGCGCACGUAGGCGGAUUGUUAAGUCAGGGGUGAAAUCCUGGAGCUCAACUCCAGAACUGCCUUUGAUACUGGCGAUCUCGAGUCCGGGAGAGGUGAGUGGAACUGCGAGUGUAGAGGUGAAAUUCGUAGAUAUUCGCAAGAACACCAGUGGCGAAGGCGGCUCACUGGCCCGGUACUGACGCUGAGGUGCGAAAGCGUGGGGAGCAAACAGG